AUAUAAUGUCCGGGAGCAAUGAGAGGAGCUGGUAGAAUCCAAGACAGCCUAUGCAAGUGAUGCUCCGAGGACAGCGGGGCAGUUAAUACUGUGGGGAAAAAGCAUUCAGAGAGUUUCAGGCAGUAGUCCCAAAUGACAGGUGUGUGUGUGUGUGUGUGUGUGUGUGUGUGUGUGUGUGUGUGUGUGUGUAUGAUAA